AGCUCCAAUAGCGUAUAUUAAAGUUGUUGCAGUUAAAAAGCUCGUAGUUGGACUUCUGGCAUGCUGCGCCUGGCCCGCCCGCGUUAGCGGUGUGAGUGCCGGUUGCGCGGUUGCCAUCCUUCUAGAAAACAGGCCUGCCCUUCACUGGGUUGGGUCUGCGAUCUAGAUCGUUUACUUUGAAAAAAUUAGAGUGUUUAAAGCAGGCAAUUGCUGUGAAUACAUUAGCAUGGAAUAAUGAUAUAGGACUUUGGUUCUAUUUUGUUGGUUUCUAGGACUAAAGUAAUGAUUGAUAGGGAUAGUUGGGGGUGCUAGUAUUGAGCGGCCAGAGGUGAAAUUCUUGGAUUCGCUCAAGACUAACUUAUGCGAAAGCAUUCACCAAGGAUGUCUUCU
rnacentral:rRNA from 1 species